GAUAGAGAAGCCCUGAAGAUUUCCAUAUGCGCAGGGGACAGCAACAAUUUUUUGUUUGUUUUUGUUUUUGAGACAGUGUUUCUCUGUAGCUUUGGAGCCUGUCCUGUAAUUGGCUCUUAUAGACCAGGCUGGCCUCGAACUCACCGAAAUCCGCCUGACCCUGCCUCCCCAAGUGCUGGGAUUAAAGGCGUGUGCCCGGCAGCAACAAUUUUUUAUAGUAAAAUUGUGUAUGUGUGUGUGUAUACACAUAUAUGUGUGUGUAUAUAUAUAUAACCAUUUUUUACUUUUUUUCAUUUGUUAUUUUAUGUGUAUAAGUGUUUACCUGCAUGUGUGUAAGUGUCCUACGUGUGCACCCGCUGCCCCAAGAGGCCAGAAGAGGGCAUCAGAUUCCCUGAAACCGUCGUUAAAGUUUGGGUUACCAUAUGGUGCUAAUCGAAGCCAGGUCCUCUGGAAAGGCCUCCAAGUGCUCUUCCCCUCUGAGCCAUGUCUCCAGGCCUCAUUUUAACUAUUUUUAAUACGCAGUCCAGUGGUAGGCAUUACUUUCAGAUUGCUGUGUGUACCAUCACUAUGGCAGAUCUCUAGAACUUUCCAUAUUGAAAGCAUACUCAUGAACUAACUCCAGGGUUCUUUGCUCCACCCCCAAGCCUGGAUACGGCAGUUCCACUUCUGCCCUGAUGAAUCUAACCACUGGGCCCUCUUGUGUUAGUCUUGUUUGGCCCUCGAGGUCUUCAAGUCAUAGCCGGUGCCAGAGUUUCACUCUACCUUAAAGCUUACAAAUGCUGUGUGUACAUACAUAGUAUUUUCCAUAUGCCUAUCUAAGCCUUUUGGGUUAUUUGAACCCCUUGACUCUUGUGACUAUAAGUGCCAUUAAUAUUUGUGUACAAGGAUUUCUUUGAACCCCUGCUCUCAAUUUUUCAUAGCUGCCACAAUUUUGUUAUUGUUGUUGAGAUGGUCUCUUUAUUCGCCCUGGCUGUCCUGGAACUCACUAUGUAUACUAUCAGGCCUCAACCUCACAGAGAUCUGCCUACCUGUGCCUCCUGAGUGCUGGGAUUAAAGGCAUGAAUCACUAUUCCCAAGCAAGGUUGCUGUAAAAUCUUAAAACCAGUCUCUCCUAUGUGAGGGAGACGCAUUUAGGUGGGCUUGAGGUUUUAGAAAAGGAGUUAGAAAGUUGUAACAGAAACCUGGACUGACCAGCAGCCAUGACUGCACUUGGCUGAAUUCUGCCUCAUUUACAUUAAGGGUUCUGGAGGAAGGUGGCCCCUUCCCCCAUUUCUCCAAAAGUCUCAUUUCCUUGGCCAGUAAUCUCAGCGCAUGACUUAGUUGCCUCAGCUUCAAGAGCACCAAGCCGCCUUUGCAGCAGCCAUGAUGCUUUUGUUCAAGCCCCUGUACUUAGGGACUUGGGAUGCUCAUUUAUGAAGCAGGAUCCAAAACCCUCUUCCAGAGACUGUGACAUAGAACAUCUGGUUGAGCCUGUGGGUGUGAUUGUUAAAACUGCUUCUCUGCGGGUUUUAAGGCAGUCAAAGUCAAGCUGGAGGCUCCCAGAGCUGUCCAUGGUAUCCGAAAGAUGCCUUCACGGUCCAGCCAUUCUUUCUUCUUCUACACCCCCAAAUCCUGUUCCUCUUACCCUCCUGGUGUCUGUAGUUUCAGUAGUUGCCACCACCCUCAUUCACUAAAGUUUGAAAAUUGUCAAGGCUUAACAGACCCCACUCCCCCCUUUCUUAAAGCCAGUCCAGCCCUAAAGUCUUGUGGGUUUUAUAAUAAAGUACUGUUCCUCUUGCCUGCCAUUCCUGAUUCAAUCAGCAUCUGCCUUUGAUCUGAGCUGUUGUAGCAGCCUCCUCCUGGGUGUCUCUGCCUCUCAUUUGUUAUACUCCCGUCCAUUCACACUGCGGCUAGAACUUCCCAUCCCCGUUCACACUGUGCCUGGAACUUAUCAUCCCCGUUCACACUGCGGCUGGAACUUCCCAUCCAUUCACACAGCGCUGGAACUUCCCGUUCCAGCUCUUCCUCUGCCUAGAACACUCUUCAGCCUUCAGUGUGCAUCUGCUGCGACGCCUCUGAUCUCCCAACCCACAGCAGUCCUCUCCAGGGGAGACAAUUACAGAGACCGAAAAUCAAGACGAAGCCUGAGGCCAAACAACUGCUCAGCAGUUCCAGGGAUGGUGAGUUCCCCCAAGAAUUACAAGCCAGGCUCUCCAUCAGACAUAGACUAUAAGCUGGAUUUUGAGAAUGGGGCAGGCAGAAAGACAGGGUGGCCACUGCAGAGGCCAUGGUUAGAGUCAGUGGACAAGGAGCCAAGUGCUCUGCCCGCUGGGUCACAGUCCCUGAGGCUCCAUCCACCAGCUAAGGAUAUCCCUGCUUCAGAUGCUCCUGCGCCAGUGGAGGGCCUCGCUGAGAGACGAGAUCACCAUGGAUGCAAGCAGAGAACAUCUGCCUUUGGGACUGGGGAUGCUGACUAGACAGGAUGAAACCCAAGACUUGGAGAAGGAAGAGCAGGGCCCAAAGGGCCCAUUGGAGCCCCAUUGUCAGGAGCUUUGGACACAGCCAGUUUCGGGAAACUGUAGCAGCCUUGUGGCUCUUCAUGCCCCCGAACUCCCAAAUCAACUCUAUUUCUGGAGGCUUCUUUGAGGACUUAGAAGGCAGCUUUGCAUCCCGAUCUAUUACUGGAAGUCCUGGGUUCCACCCUCAGCACAUUGGGAAGAAGGAAGAAGAGGAGGAGGAGGAGGCAUGGAGGAAUCUUAAAGUCCUUUAGCCCAGCUCUCCGAAUCAGAAAGUGGGAUGAAGAGAGAGCACAGGUGGGGAAUGGAAGAUGGAAGAUCUCAGCUGCCUUCUCUAAGCAAUGAAGGCUUGCAGCUUCGGUGACUUUCCGAUGCCCCUUUUCUCAGGUGUUGUCUGUGAUGAUGGAUAUCCCGUAGAAGGAGGCUGUUCCCAAAGCCCUGGCCUCCUCAGGGAAAAGAGGCAAAUCCAACCAAAGCUAAAGCUUGUGUUGUCAUCUUCAGAGCCAUCCUUUGUGAAUGAGACGAGGUCUCGACCAGAGCGGGUCAGAGCCCACUUCAAGCUUGUAGACCAACAUGCCUGUGAUCUGGUAGGAGGGAAGUGAUGUGGGAGUGACUUCUUUCUAAUCUAUUGCUUUCACUGGUUAAUUAAUAAAGAAACUGCCUAGGCCCAUUUGAUAGGCCAACCCUUAGGUGGGUGGAGUAAACAGAACAGAAUGCUGGGAGAAAGAAGCCGAGUCAGGCAGUCGCCAUGAUUCUCCCACUCCAGACAGAUGCAUGUUAAGAUCUUCCCUGGUAAGCCACCUCGUGGGCUACACAGAUUAUUAGAAAUGGGUUAGAUCAAUAUGUAAGAGCUAGCCAAUAAGAGGCUGGAACUAAUGGGCCAGGCAGUGUUUAAAAGAAUACAGUUUCUGUGUAAUUAUUUCGGGGCAUAAGCUAGCCAUGCAGGCGUCAGGGAGCUGGGGCGGCAGGAACACAGCCUCGCCCCUCCUAUUACAACAGGGAAGGAGGCUCAGGUGUAUUCAGGGUCAUUUCUGAAGAAGGAAGCGUGACUGUGGUGGGCAGGUUCCUUGACAGUCCCACAUAAAGCGUACAGACACAGGACAGCCAAGCAGUAAAGGAAACCAUCAAAACCAGAAAGCUGGCAAAGAUGUAAUUGAAUGAGGGGGGCAUUUCCCAGCCUCAACAAACAGUAGAAUUUGGCAGCUUCAGCUACCUGGUUCUGGCUUUAAAGUUAAGGAUAAAAGAAAUGGGUUAUGAAAUCUUCCUUCAAACUAAGGAAAGCUGCUGAGGGCAGGCAUGUAUCAGGACUAUCCCUGCAUGGAGGUUUGGAAAUGCCAUUGCAUGAAGCUGUGAAGUUCAAGCCUCGAUUUCCUUGGAGACAUCAAAAUGUUGGAGAUGCCAGAGCUGUGGGUACCUGCUGAGGAGAGCUGCUGAGGAGAGUUGCUGACAGACAGUGGAACCAUCCAAAGAGAGAGAAGUGUGUUUCAGUCAACAAAUCUGAAAGGAGUUGGAGAUCUAAAGAGCACUUUGACAUCAGACAUGGAAAUACAGUAUUUGGAGUUUUCCUAGAUGAUUUGGUUUGGUAUUUCCUCACUAGCCUCUCUUUCCUCCACUUUGGGACAGUAAUGCAUAUCUUGUGCCAUUAUGUGUUUGAAGUAUGUGAUAUUUCUCUUUAAUUUUGAUUUAUAGGGGAUUAUAGUUAAGAGAUUAAGUGAGUCUUAGGAGAGACUUUAAACUGUAGACUAUUAAACAUUGUUGAGACGGUGACCGACAAUGGGGAAUUUUGAAGUUGGACUAAACAAAUAUUGCAUUAUGUUAUGGAUAUAAGUCUAUGGGGGUGAGGGAGUAGAAUGUGGGGGUUUGAAAAGGUAUGCCCCCCCAUGGUCUCAUGUGUUUGAAUGCUUGGCAUAUAGGGAAUGGUCCUAGAAGAAGGUGUGCCCUUGUUGAAGCAAGAAUGGCUUUGUUAGUUGUUAGAGGAAGUUUGUCACUGUGGUGGCAGUCUUUGAGGUCUCAUAUGCUCAAACUAUGCCUAGUUUGGUAGACAGUUCACUUCCUCUUGCCUGCAGAUCAAGAUGCAGAACUCUCAGUUCUUUCUCCAAAACCAUGUCUCCCUACAUACUGCCAUGAAGAUAAUGGAUUAAGCCUCUGAAACUGUAAGCCAGCCCAAAUUAAAUGGUUUCCUUUAUAAGAGUUGUCAUGGUCAUAUCUCUUCACAGCAAUGGAAACCCUAAGACAGAGUAUCUGGCAAGCCCUGGGUGCUCUGCUCCUGCCCUGACCUCAGCUUUUAAUGUUCACUCUGGCAGGGCAGGGCCUAGUGAGUGUGUAGUUUCUGGGACUUCCUGACCAUUUUGAAUUUUACCUUCCUACUUAAAGAAUGUCCUGGAGGAUGGAGUGCUGUAGAAAAUCCUUCAGCCAGUAGCCUUUAAGUUACCCACCCACUUGGGCAUGGCCUCUUAUACUAUAAUGCCAAUGUAAAGCUCAUGCCUGCUCUUUCUUCUUAUGUUACUGAUUCCAAGUUCAAGCAGAGGACUGUGAUCUGUGAGUCUCCCCCUAA